rnacentral:lncRNA from 1 species
CCUCUAUGCCCUGGAUGACGUCCUCAGCUUGGCAGGCGAUGUCGUCCGGUCCCUCUCGGCGUUCUGCAGGGUGCGGCGCGACUUCAGCCUUGACAUUUUCGGAUGAGACUCAUCUGUAACACGGAAGGGGUGGGUGUGUGGUCUUCGGAUGGCGGCAAUGGUUCUAUGACAUGAGAUGCGGGCGUCCGGACCUCUGGAACGGCAAUGCAUGGGCGUUUAUCCCGCGCGACAUCCUCCGUCUCUGAAAUCGCUGACGUGGCCUCCAGGAUGCGGUGUGGUUCUUCCAUAAUUUAUUGGAUGAUACAAUGAUGCGAGUGCAGUGAAACGAUCGCAAAUAUGUGGGGUUAUGUGCAAGAUUACAAAUGAAUGACCACAAGUUGAAAUAGUGUAAAAAA